GAAGCAUCAACCAUUUGAUGAUUUCGUUCAGACAACCCGUCAUAAAAGCAUUGUACUAGUUGCCAUUUGGGUAUUUGAUGAUGCAGGCAUUUUCGAAGUAAAUCUCUAAAUUUUUUCUAAGUUUCAUGAAAUUCUUCCCCGUCAGAUUGGGAGAAGCUCGUGAUAGCACGCCUAAAUUGGUUCGUUCUUCCUAUGGAAAAAUAUUUUUUUAGAAAUUCAUGUUGCAUUUGAGCCCAUGAAAGAAUGGAAUUGGCUUCUAAUGAAUGGAGCCACUACUUAGCUCUAUCCUUAAGAGAGAAAGGGAACAACCUAAGUUUCAGAGCAUCAUCAGUGAAGUUCUGAAUUUUGACAGUGGUGCAGAUCUCAAGAAACUCAUCUAGAUGUUUGUAUGGGUCUUCAUUGUUGAGUCCAUAAAAAGAGGGAAGCAUUUGGAUGACAGUAGACUUAAUUUCAAAUUGUACAGCAGCAGUGGUAUCAGAUAGUCGAAUACAAGAUGGAGAGGUAUAAAUGAAAGGAGUGAAGUACUCCUUUAA
rnacentral:lncRNA from 1 species